rnacentral:lncRNA from 1 species
GCCUAGGACUUACUUAGCUCAGGAACUAACCAUAUGUGAUUUGAGGAACCAUACUGAGAAGGCUUGUUUAAUACUAAUUUCACCAGACACAAGAUACUGGACAUUCUGGAACAUCCAGAGUCUUACAUGGAGGAGGAAUAUUGGGAUAGACGGUACAAGAAGCUGAGAAGUUAGCCAAGAUGCAGGCUGGGUCUUCUAGGGAAGCUGGCUGAUCUCAUGCUGAACUGAAUGCAGACCCUUUCCAGGGGGUUAGUACUUAGGGAUCUGGAAGGAAGAAGAAUCAACUUUCUUGCAAGGGGACUCCAGUCAGCAGCAGGUGCAGUGGAGAAGAGAACUCUACCUUUUGAGAGAGAAUAUGGGAUUAUAAAGUGCCUGGAGCUUGAAAGAAACACAGACUUCAGCCUGAUUGUAUUUUUGUGGCUGGGCAGUCUCAGUCAUUGCCAUGGUUUCAAGUUGUUGAGGAGUUAUGGAUACAGCAAAGAUGGACUUGAAUUCCGGCCAAGGAGAUGUUAUUCAGAG